rnacentral:snRNA from 1 species
GGAUGUGAGGGCAAUCUAGCUGCAACAUUUGUCAUCCCAUUGACUCCCAGGAUUGAUUCAGCUGAUCUGGCUGGCUACGCGAGUGUCCCCUUCCUCCCUCACCACUCCAUGUGAUGUGCAUCCCUCGUGAAGCUGCGCACUGGGUCAAAGAGGAUGACCAUCCCCGAGAGUAGGACCCAUCUUCAUUAAAGGGUAUACCAGUAUUGGCGCUCCUCUGAUAGAAUCUCCAAACAAAGAGCCAACUUCUCCUGCUAAAUGCCAUGCUGGUUGCAUUCCAGU